UGGGGAAUAUUGGACAAUGGGCGGAAGCCUGAUCCAGCCAUGCCGCGUGUGUGAAGAAGGCCUUUUGGUUGUAAAGCACUUUAAGCGAGGAGGAGGCUACCUAGAUUAAUACUCUGGGAUAGUGGACGUUACUCGCAGAAUAAGCACCGGCUAACUCUGUGCCAGCAGCCGCGGUAAUACAGAGGGUGCGAGCGUUAAUCGGAAUUACUGGGCGUAAAGCGUGCGCAGGCGGUUUGUUAAGCGAGAUGUGAAAGCCCUGGGCUCAACCUAGGAAUAGCAUUUCGAACUGGCGAACUAGAGUCUUGUAGAGGGGGGUAGAAUUCCAGGUGUAGCGGUGAAAUGCGUAGAGAUCUGGAGGAAUACCGAUGGCGAAGGCAGCCAUCUGGCCUAAUACUGACGC
rnacentral:rRNA from 1 species